rnacentral:rRNA from 1 species
UUUUAGUGGCGAACGGGUGAGUAACACGUAAGCAACCUACCCUAAAGACGAGGAUAACCAUUGGAAACAGUGGCUAAGACUGGAUAGGAAGAAAUAAGGCAUCUUUUUUCUUUUAAAAGACCUAGUGAUAGGUAUACUUUAGGAGGGGCUUGCGCCAUAUUAGUUAGUUGGUAGGGUAAUGGCCUACCAAGACGAUGAUGUGUAGCUGGACUGAGAGGUUGAACAGCCACAUUGGGACUGAGACACGGCCCAAACUCCUACGGGAGGCAGCAGUAGGGAAUUUUCGGCAAUGGAGGAAACUCUGACCGAGCAACGCCGCGUGAACGACGAAGUACUUUGGUAUGUAAAGUUCUUUUAUCAAGGAAGAAAAGCAAGUGGUGAACCAUUUGUUUGCCGGUACUUGAUGAAUAAGCCCCGGCUAAUUAUGUGCCAGCAGCCGCGGUAAGACAUAAGGGGCAAGUGUUAUCCGGAAUUAUUGGGCGUAAAGGGUGCGUAGGCGGUCUAGUAAGUCAGUGGUGUAAUGGCAACGCUCAACGUUGUCCGGCUAUUGAAACUGCUAAACUUGAGUUAGAUAGAGGCGAGUGGAAUUCCAUGUGUAGCGGUAAAAUGCGUAAAUAUAUGGAGGAACACCAGAGGCGUAGGCGGCUCGCUGGGUCUUAACUGACGCUGAGGCACGAAAGCGUGGGGAGCAAACAGGAUUAGAUACCCUGGUAGUCCACGCCGUAAACGAUGAGUACUAAGUGUCGGGUUAAACCGGUACUGAAGUUAACACAUUAAGUACUCCGCCUGAGUAGUACGUACGCAAGUAUGAAACUUAAAGGAAUUGACGGGACUCCGCACAAGCGGUGGAUCAUGUUGUUUAAUUCGAAGAUACCCGAAAAACCUUACCAGGUCUUGACAUGUUUUUGCGAAACGGUAGUAAUAUCGUGGAGGUUAUCAGAAACACAGGUGGUGCAUGGUUGUCGUCAGCUCGUGUCGUGAGAUGUUAGGUUAAGUCCUAAAACGAGCGAAACCCUUAUCGUUAGUUGCCAGCACGUUAUGGUGGGGACUUUAACGAGACUGCCAGUGAUAAAUUGGAGGAAGGUGAGGAUCACGUCAAAUCAGCAUGCCCCUUAUGACCUGGGCUACAAACGUGAUACAAUGGCUGUUACAAAGGGUAGCUGAAACGCAAGUUCUUGGCCAAUCCCCAAAAACAGUCUCAGUCCGGAUUGAAGUCUGCAACUCGACUUCAUGAAGUUGGAAUCGCUAGUAAUCGCGAAUCAGCAUGUCGCGGUGAAUACGUUCUCGGGGUUUGUACACACCGCCCGUCAAACCACGAAAGUUGGCAAUACCCCAAAACGGUAGCCUAACUCGUUUAUCGAGAGGGCGCUGUCUAAGGUAGGGUCGAUGAUUGGGGUUAAGUCGUAACAAGGUAUCCCUACCGGAAGGUGGGGAUGGAUCACCUCCUUUCUAAGGAAACCAAUAAAAUCAAUCAUCUUCAGUUUUGAAAGACUUAGGAUAACUAAGUUUUUCUUCGUGACUUCACGAAGGGCCUAUAGCUCAGUUGGUUAGAGCACACGCCUGAUAAGCGUGAGGUCGGUGGUUCAAGUCCAUUUAGGCCCACCAGAGUUAUAGGUGUCGUAAGAACACAAAUUCUUUGAAAAUUAGGUAAAUAAUA